rnacentral:rRNA from 1 species
UGGGGAAUUUUGGACAAUGGGCGCAAGCCUGAUGCAGCAACGCCGCGUGAGCGAUGAAGGCCUUCGGGUCGUAAAGCUCUGUCCUCAAGGAAGAUAAUGACGGUACUUGAGGAGGAAGCCCCGGCUAACUACGUGCCAGCAGCCGCGGUAAUACGUAGGGGGCUAGCGUUAUCCGGAAUUACUGGGCGUAAAGGGUGCGUAGGUGGUUUCUUAAGUCAGAGGUGAAAGGCUACGGCUCAACCGUAGUAAGCCUUUGAAACUGGGAAACUUGAGUGCAGGAGAGGAGAGUGGAAUUCCUAGUGUAGCGGUGAAAUGCGUAGAUAUUAGGAGGAACACCAGUGGCGAAGGCGAUUCUCUGGACUGUAACUGACGCUGAGGCUCGAAAGCGUGGGGAGCAAACA